AAGCAAGAAGCAAUAAAUUGCCUCUAGUUUCGACCUAGAAAUAUGAUAUAAUAGUCCUUGCUU
rnacentral:tRNA from 1 species